AUUGGGGUUUUGAAUACAGUCUCAAAAUCAAUCGCUCAUUCAUAUUCCACCUAACUCUGCUCCCACGCCUUUGUCCCUUUACAAACCCUAAUCUAAUUUCCCUCCCUCUAAUAUCAGAAGUCACACGAUUAGGGGUUCAAUCAAUUGCUUGUGAUCGGUGGAGGAUGAUUCAGUUGUGUUCAUAGAGAAGUUAUUAACGCCGUCGGCGUCAUCGAUGAAGCUCACCAUGGCAAUCGGUACAAAAAGGCUUUCCUAGAUCAUGCAAGCAGUGGGUCUGAUUCUGAAGCCAAUGCUCAGCUCACAUAAGAAGCCAGCAAAAAAUGGAUGCUGGGACAUAGCAUAUAUAAGGGAAAAAUCUGACAGUCUACUUUUUAAUUAUACGGUCUAUUUGGCAAUAUAAACUGGUACUUAUAGAAAGUUGAUGAACUGUGUGAAAGUUAUUGGGAUGAGCGUUGUACCGAUACCGAAAAAUGAGUACCGGUUCUGGAACAAAAAAUAACCGUCAUGGUUACAGUUCGGUACCAAUAUUUACCGUUAAAGUAACCAGAAUACUGGUACCGUUCAGAGUCGUCAUGGUUACAGGUGGAAUGGCUACUACUAUUGCUUAAGUUAAUUAUGUACCCUUGACCUUAGUUCCACUUUUGUUUCAAUUGGCAAAUUAUUAUAGAAUCUUGCUUCCUCUCAUGGGAGCUGUUGGUUUAGCAGUAUGGAUGUCAUCUGUCGCAAACCAAUGUAUGGAGGGUGAAGGACCAAAUGGUGAAGAGGAUAUGAAACUUUGCAUAAAAGGAGUCAGUGAUAACCAUCAACCAUGACACAAUUGAUGAGGAUAUUAUUUAUGAGCACAUUGAAGUUUCGAGUUUUUAUUUAAAUAUUUGUUAGGUUUUUGUUUUAUAUGUUAGAUAUUUAGACUUAAUGUUACACUUGUUAGAUAUUUGGAAGAUAAUCGAAGUUAUGAUAUUAUGCUUUCUA